rnacentral:lncRNA from 1 species
AACAACAACAAAAAAAAAAAACCAAAAAAACCUAAAAAUCAGACAUGGUUGGUUUCUAAUCAGUCUCUCUAAGAUAGCUGAAAUGACGUAAUAAUUUUGAGUAUAUGCUGGAUUUCUUCUUACCCCCACAGUGCUCAGGUGCACUUGGCAUUUUGAAUGUUAUCCAGCUUUUCUCGGUGCCAGAAGCGUGCAAUCCCCCAUGUUACUUACUCAGGAAGAAUGUUAUUCAGUAGCUAAAAUAGAAUUACCCAGUUAUGCUUAUGGUUCCUGCUCUUGGAAGAGGAAUGCACAGCAUCAAAAUGGAUUUGGAAAUGAGAAGCAGUUGAUAAUUUUAUGCUAACACAGAUGGAAUAAUAUGUAUUCUGGUUAAUGCCAACUUCAGGAAGGAUUGCUUUUUAAGCCCCGGAUGUGACUAUCUCUAGCUUUGUAAUCCUCCCUAAAAAUGGGAUAUAUUCUAGAACCUUCUGUAUUUUUCUUAUUUUUAGAGCUAUAGCUAAGGCUUAAGAUUUUCCUAUCUGAAAUAUUUACUAUAUAAAGAUCUCUAGCUAGUCAGGGGCCUGUUUUCCAAUGAGACCUGAUGCUAUCAUAAAUAAGCUAGAAGGAACAUUGGGAAUACAAACUACUCUUAAAAGAGCAGGCCCCACGCCCAGCAGUAGAUGGCCAAUAGAAAGUGAGUUCAGUGGCACCUUUGGAGGUUAUUUGUCUUAUAAUGCUCUUCACACUUCUUCCCAUUUUAUUAAUUUUUUCUAUCUAUCUGUCUGUCUGUCUGUCUGUCUAUCCAUCUGUCAUCUAUUCUCUCUUUUUCCCCUGCAGGUCCUAUACAUGUGGAUUGUGGCUUCCAGUUUAGUGUUUUAUGGGAUUGCUGAAUUUACACAUGAGUGGUUUUCUGUUUCUUGUGCCUUUUUCUUUUUGUUUCUUUUGUCCAGUUCCAAUGUGUUAGUUUUUGUUUUAUUUUAUUAUAUUUUAUUUAUUAUUCUCCCUUAGAAACCUGUUUGUUUUCUGAGUGACAGACAGAAAGGUGGUGGAUCCUGAUGGGACAGGAGGUAGGGAGGAGCUGGAAGGAGUACAGGGAGGGAAACAUAAUCAAGGAAUAUUGUGUGAGAGGAAACAAAUCAUUUUCAAUAAAAGGAAAAGAAAGACAAAUGAAACAGAGACUAUGGAUGCCGCAUCAUAAGUUGUACGUUUCUGGUGUAAUCCUAGUGCAACAGAUGUAUAUUUUUUUAUUGUUGUUACAAUAAAUAUGUUGCAAAAAAGGCAUAAAAGUAUGUCCCAAGAUGCAGACAAAACAUACUUUCUACUGAAAAGUCUCUAUAUGCAACUAUUCUCAUUGGUUUAAUUUUUUUCAUUUUUAAUUCUUGGAUUCUAUUUGGAUAUAUUUUUCAGCUCUUUUCAUUUGUCCCAGCUAUGGUUACGUAGGGAGUGGGCCUGUACUCACUCAGAUCUGUACUGGUGUGGAUGUUGAUACUGUCUAUGAAAGUGAGCAGAUAGGAGCUGCUACAUUCUGCUGCUUUAUUUUUGAGACAGGGUCUCACUUACUCUGUAGCUCUGGCAGGCCUGACAUUCCUUAUGGAGACCAAGUUGGCCUUGAACUCAGAGAACUUCCUGCUGGGGUUAAAGGUGAAUGCCACCACACCCAGCCUCUGAGUGUUUUACUGGCAUAAAGGACAUCCUAUUAGAAACAAGUUCCUACCUACUGGAAAGAUUGUAUGCUUAGCUCUGAGCAUGCUAAGUUCAUGAAUUAACUUUGAGUUAAGGUUUAAUUUUAUUUAGGGAUAAAACAAAAACAAAUAUUUUUCACAUUUCUGAGAAGUAAAGUUUAUUGUUUACCCUUUAAAACUAAAAUAGACUUUUUUUGCAUUGGCCUUUUUUAUUUCUUUUUCAGUCGCCUAGGCCCACCUUCUUCCCCCUCUGCAGCUGACAAAGAAGAGAACCCUGCAGUGCUGGCAGAGAGCUGUUUCAGAGAACUGCUGGGCCGAGCAACUUUUGGGAAUAUGAAUAAUGCUGUUAGGCCAGUUUUUGCGUGAGUACUUGCUAUUUUUCUAGUUAUCCAUGAAGGUCACAUUGGGCAUCCAUUAUGUGUUUAUUUGUUUCCUUUAAGUAUGAAUACCAUGUACUACAUCACUUGCCAUGCAUAUCUCCUUACAUCCCUUGAAAUACUUAUGUGGAGUGAGAAAUUAGACAGUGUCACCAACAUGUGAUGCACAUUGCUGCCCUCCCUUCCCUCUCUAUUUCUUUCUUUUUUCUUCAAAUUGAACCUAGCACCCUCCCAUAGAGCUAAAUCUUACAUUUUCUUUCUGCCUUUAAUGGGAGCUUAAGAUUCUGUUGACUUUUCUGAAUAAACUCCUAUUUUACUCAGAGUCUAAUCAAGAUAAGACUAUUGAAGACCUCACUGAUCCUUACUUACAUGGUGUCUUCCAGGCUCUUAUGCAGUAAGUUUCUCUGCACAAUCAGUAUCCUGCAGGCAGGCCUUCCAGGUCUUGUGCUCCUAAUCCCAUCAUAGCAUGAUAGAUCAGUGCACUCUGAGAGCCUGUAUAAGUACUGGGUGGUUUUGCUGAACUCUUCUUUGUUACAAUUCAGCACCAUCCCCUCUUCACGCUCUGGCUGUAGUGAACAUAGUGUAUACAGAAUGUUUUCCAUGUAACGUCCAGGAUUCUUAUUGGGGAGCAGGCAUUUUUACCUCAGGUUUCAGAGUUAACCUUCAAAUACAAGAAUUAUUAAGUAGCAAAACUAUAUUAAAAAUCAAGAGUAUCAUCACCUCUUCAAAAUAACUUGUGGUCUUCCCUCUUCCCUAUCACAGUAGCCUUACAGAAAUACUACUAAAAAGUAACCAAAUUGUGUUAAAUAUAGUAAGGCAGAUUAUAUUGACGUAUGACCAAAAAUUUAGGCCAAAAGAUAGAAUUUAGGCUAGUUAGAUACAAGGCCAACUUUACCACGUUAACUACUAUAUUUGAGUUGAAGAAUUUAAACUAGGCUUUUGUCCUCCUCCCACCUUUUUAAAUUACAAUACGUUUAUCAUACUAUAUACUUUGAUCAUGUUUUUACCUUCCCUCAACAACUCAGAUCUUUCCUCUCUUCCUUUCCACCCAAUUUUAUCUUCCUUAUCUUUCUUUUAAAACAAAGCAAAAAACUACCACAAAAAUCAAAACAAGCAAAAGAAUGAG